GGAUGUGGCUUAGUGGUAGAGUGCUUACCUAGCAUGUGCAAGGCCCUGGGUUCAAUCCCCAGCACCA
rnacentral:tRNA from 1 species